GUGUGUAUAUACAUAUGUGUACAUACAUAUAUGUAUACACACACACACACACACACACAAUGGAAUAUUACUCA
rnacentral:miRNA from 1 species